CCCCCUGUAGCACCACGAGGUCAGGCACUCUCCCGCCUGAGUGGCUGCGUUGUGUUGAUGGCUAGGGAUGAAACAGUUCCAUGCUCAACCACAGAAGCAUAAGGAAUGUAAUUUGUUUUUCAGGCCCGGCUCUUUCAAGCUGUUAGGCACACACACAACUUCAGGAAAAUGUGACUUUAGAAUGGAGGCAAAACUGGUGAUGUGUAUUAUACACUCUGAGUGAAAUUUUAUUUACACAGAAGAGCUGCUUCUGAAACCAGAGGAUCAACACCAGAGACCAGCGUAUAAACUUACCUAAUCAAGGUCCAGCUACAAACUCUAUCCCACUUGAAGGUCAUAUGGAAAGCUUUGUCAUGGCAGUGGCUGCUGCUUUGUUGAUGCCUGAGCUUGCUAGAGAGAGCAGAGUUGUGCACGUUGGUUUGCCUUGCACAGUCCAGUUCAAAGAGAGACACUUUCCUGUCUACCUGGGUGCAGUAUUUUCCCUGGACAGAGCUGUUGUUGGAAAGUUGGCAGGUAGGAGCUGUAUCUGUGGAACUGCAGGGCUAUUUUGGCAACGUGUCUGCACAUAGUAGACACGUGACCAAAUUUCUGGGCAGGUUUCACAGCACAUGUAAUCUAAAUGCUUCUGUGGUACCUCUUACUCCGAUUUCAUGUUUCCCUUGUCAUAUCUACUUAUCUUGCAAAAGGUUUAUUUGGGGCAGACAACAUGGUAUUUUGGACUGCUGAGCGCCCAGGAAACAAGGGCAGGUUCACUGAGCACAUUCAGGUCACUUGUACUGUGUCUGCAACUGAUCUGCAAAUGCAACAGACCACAGUGCAAGGGACACACAUUGUGGAGAAAUCACAUUUGUCUUAUUGUCCUGGAAAAACACCAGCUUUGCUGAGGUGGCCUCGGGGUUGUCACUGUCAUGACCCUAGAGAAAUUUUGUGGAGCAGCCUUCCAUGUGUGAACCAUGCUACCACAGUAUCUGUUCUAUUGGGGAGCAAGAAAUUCCAGAUAUACAUACAGGGGGUACUCUUUCCCACAGUUAGUAGAAUUGUGAGACUGACUCCCCCUCCUCCCUUUUAGGAACUUCUGUUCUCCAUUGAAUGAGACAGAUAGAUGUAUCCUGCAUUCUUAAAGAAAAAAUAAAUUUGGAUGCAACUUUUGUAUUUGCAGCUUUGAAUUGGUAAGCUUGUGAGAGCAGCUGCUCUUUACUUCAGCAAAAUCAGAAAAUGUAGAGAUGAGCAACAAUAAAAACAAAAAACCCCCCAGACCCUAGGUGAUCAAAACCAGUCCCUAAAGCUUUGUGUAUAAUGUCUUUCCA